rnacentral:rRNA from 1 species
UACGGGGGGGGCAAGCGUUGUUCGGAAUUACUGGGCGUAAAGGGUGCGUAGGCGGUUUGCUAAGUUGGAUGUGAAAACUCUGGGCUUAACCCAGAGCCUGCAUUCAAAACUGACAAGCUAGAGUUCUGGAGGGGGUAGCGGAAUUCCUGGUGUAGCGGUGAAAUGCGUAGAUAUCAGGAGGAACACCGGUGGCGAAGGCGGCUACCUGGACAGAAACUGACGCUGAGGCACGAAAGCUAGGGGAGCAAACAGG